GCCUAAUACAUGCAAGUCGAGCGGACAGAUGGGAGCUUGCUCCCUGAUGUUAGCGGCGGACGGGUGAGUAACACGUGGGUAACCUGCCUGUAAGACUGGGAUAACUCCGGGAAACCGGGGCUAAUACCGGAUGCUUGUUUGAACCGCAUGGUUCAGACAUAAAAGGUGGCUUCGGCUACCACUUACAGAUGGACCCGCGGCGCAUUAGCUAGUUGGUGAGGUAACGGCUCACCAAGGCGACGAUGCGUAGCCGACCUGAGAGGGUGAUCGGCCACACUGGGACUGAGACACGGCCCAGACCUCUACGGGAGGCAGCAGUAGGGAAUCUUCCGCAAUGGACGAAAGUCUGACGGAGCAACGCCGCGUGAGUGAUGAAGGUUUUCGGAUCGUAAAGCUCUGUUGUUAGGGAAGAACAAGUGCCGUUCAAAUAGGGCGGCACCUUGACGGUACCUAACCAGAAAGCCACGGCUAACUACGUGCCAGCAGCCGCGGUAAUACGU
rnacentral:rRNA from 1 species